GGCAAUGGGUUUUUGCAGAAAAAUCUCAAUUAAAACCACAAAGAAGGAUUGUAAGCAGAGGGCUUCUACUUUGAACUAAGAUGUUUAUUGGGGCUGCUAGGACUUUCUAGAGAAGAGCUUACAAAAGUCUCUAACUAGCUUCUAUUAUACAUAUUACUUUCUACAUUACAUUAUUACAUUACAGCUAUAAAUAAAGAUCUAGACAUGCUUUACGCCUUCCAUGGCAAUCCAGGAGUUACAGACUGAGGAAGAUGCAUUCAUACUCUGCAUGGGUUUGUGUUUCUUUUUUUCUUAAUGCAAAGGGCAGAGUAUGCAAAUAUCCAUCUUUUUGAUGGAGAUUCAGAAUUGUGGCUCAGACAUACGAGAGUGUACUGAAGUGCCUAUCUUUUGAGCACAUUCCUAUGGUGUUUCCCCAUGAGGUCAGACAUCAGCUGCAGGCAAAUGUGUAUAACACAGAUUAAGACACUAUCUCCAGCUCCAUCAAAGUCCCUUUGCACAUCCCCAAAACGUGCUUGAAGAAGGGAGCAGAUAAGAUUCUCCAGCUCCACAUUAAGCAGUGAACAAUGACAACACCACAGUGGAUGAGCAGAGGCUCAUCUUAUCCCCUAAGGAAAUUUGCAAACGUGACAAAAAGCACAGAGAAACAGCUUGACUCGCUCAGGAACUUUGCGACAAACUCCUUACCAUGACCUUUGCUAUGUAAAGUUUUGGUUUCUUCUGUAUUCUCAUGUGCUUACAGAAUAAAAAUACUCUUGUCAGCAAGUGCUGAUAUUUAAUUAAACCGGAAUGACUGCUGUGAAGGGAAUCAUAUCGACAUCUGUAGGAAGCUAUGCAUUUGGGGAAAAUCCAAAGGAAGAUACGGAUAUUUUUAAUUUAGUUAUUACACAGGUUUUAAUAUCCGCAUUUUAAUUGAGUGUUCUUUUACUUUAGGAUUGCAACAUGGCUGGUGACACUGCUGCAAAUGUCAUGGUUAUGUGACUUCCAGUACAGUCUUCUCUUCAUCACCAGUAGCCUUCCACAUAA